rnacentral:tRNA from 1 species
GACGUUAGCUCAGUUGGUAGAGCAACGGACUUUUAAUCCGUGGGUCGCGGGUCCGACUCCCGCACGUCC